AGUCGAACGAGAAAGCGAAAGCUUGCUUUUGGCGAGUAGAGUGGCGCACGGGUGAGUAACGCGUGGGUAAUCCGCCUUCGAACCGGGGAUAACACUUCGAAAGGGGUGCUAAUACCGGAUGACAUCCAGGUGUCUUCGGGCGCCUGGAUCAAAGAUGGCCUCUCCAUGGAAGCUGUCGUUCGAAGAUGAGCCCGCGUCCCAUUAGCUUGUUGGUGGGGUAAAGGCCCACCAAUGCGACGAUGGGUAGCUGGUCUGAGAGGAUGAUCAGCCACACUGGCACUGACACACGGGCCAGACUCCUACGGGAGGCAGCAGUGAGGAAUUUUGCGCAAUGGGGGUAACCCUGACGCAGCAACGCCGCGUGAGUGAAGAAGGCCUUCGGGUCGUAAAGCUCUGUCGAGUGGGAAGAACCCGCAUCAGGUGACAAGGCUGAUGCGCUGACGGUACCACUGGAGGAAGCACCGGCUAACUCCGUGCCAGCAGCCGCGGUAAUACGGAGGGUGCAAGCGUUAUUCGGAAUUACUGGGCGUAAAGGGCGCGCAGGCGGCCUGGUAAGUCAGUAGUGAAAGCCCGGGGCUCAACCCCGGAAGUGCUGCUGAAACUGUUGGGCUUGAGUAUGGUAGAGGGAAGCGGAAUUCCUGGUGUAGCGGUGAAAUGCGUAGAUAUCAGGAGGAACACCGGUGGCGAAGGCGGCUUCCUGGACCAAUACUGACGCUGAGGCGCGAAGGCGUGGGUAGCAAACAGGAUUAGAUACCCUGGUAGUCCACGCAGUAAACGGUGAUCACUAGGUGUUGCGGGUAUUGAUACUUGCAGUGCCGGAGCUAACGCAUUAAGUGAUCC
rnacentral:rRNA from 1 species